rnacentral:rRNA from 1 species
CUGAAGAUAAGAUCUCCCUGGGAGCAAUCCCCUAAAGACCCCAAGAAGAUGACUUGGUUGAUAGGUCACAGAUGUAAGUGUGGUAACACAUUCAGUCGAGUGAUACUAAUCGGUCGUGAGGCUUGACCAUAUUAC